GGCCGUCGUCACCGGUGCCAGCGACAUUAUCGGCGGGGCCAUCGCCUUCGGUUUCGGCCUCAUGCUCGUCGCCCGCAACCCAGACAAGCUCGUCGCCCUCUAGGAGCAGAUCAGGUUCAAGCCUCCCAGAUCGAGGACCGCACCUUGGUGCUCGACUUCAGCAGCGAGGGGCCUUAGUUACGGACGUGCCUCAGAUUUCGGCUGUCGUCUCCUCACCACACAGUCUGAUCCCCUUGCACGUCCAUCAAACUACUGACGAACUACUGCCCCAGUACGGCAGUACCAAGUGUUAUGAGUACACAAGAUGGUGAAGAUAUGCGACAUCCUGUAUAAUUUUAGUGGAGAAUUUUUGAAAUAGACCAAGAUUGUUUCCCUGGAAUCCCGGAGGCUAGAGCAAUUAUUACCCUGGAGUUUCAGAGGUUGGUUUCUUACUACUUGAAGUUUAAUUCUGUUUCAAACACUAACGUAUACGGGGAUUACAUUGCAAAAUUUUGGGCAUUGUUCUUUCCGAAAAAUGCUAGGUUUGUUUACAUGCUAUGUAUUGUUAGGAGUUGCCGAAAUAGGUACAUUUUGGUUUAUUUAAUUUUUAUUUUUCCCAAGGAUAUAGUCGGAAUGUACCCAUGUUGUUUGAAAAAUGUGUUCUUACAAUCUGUAACUGGUGAUCUUAAAAGGGUGCUCUUAUAAUCUGCGGGUGCUCUUAAAAUUUGUCUUCCUCUGCCGUCAUUAUAUACUAUUGGAAAAUAUGAAGUAUUAUCUUUAAAAAAAUGGUAUUGACAAAACAAUAUGAAACAGUAAACUAUCUUUUGUGUGUGUUGCUGCAUAUUUGAUGAUUAAAUCAUCAAUGAAUAAAUAAAUCCUUGACAUUUGUGUUUUCCGCUGAUGCCUUUCACAUGAACAAGUUUAUGUUGACACAGUCAGUUUGUUAGAAAGAUUGGUGCAGCAACUCUUCGACAGAAUGGGCAUCCUAUGCAAGAUUCAGGUAGGGAAAGUUUUGCUGUGAGUUAUCUGAUACAGAUGACUACAGCGAGCUAUUCUGUUUGAAGAGCAAGCGGGGGUGAUGUGAUACUCUAAUUUCCCACUAAAUACCAUGCUUGCUGGGUCAGUGCUCAUGAUCAUGGAGAUCUAUCUUGUACUGUGGAGCAAGAGGGAGGAAGCAGCAGAUCCCGCCACCUCGACACUGCAUCCUGGCAUAUAAACUACUCUGCCGCUUCCUAGCAUACGUGCUCCUUCACUUUCUCUGAGUUGCUUCAGAGUGGUCAUCGUGAUUCGAUUACCGGACAGGUGAAGAGCUCUUCGAGAUACAGGGUGUAGGCACAUCUCUAGCGAGGUUGGCAGGCAAUGUAUUCCUCUCCACCUCUGAUACCUAUUGGAAAGUAUUUACAUCUAUAGCAUUUCUUGGGACUGUAAUACUCUUUUUGUUUCGAAAUGAUUUUUUAUAGAGACGGGAAAGAGUUCUGUGUUAGAACAAUCCUUGAGAUGAUCACAGUAAUUACCACUUGUGAUCUUUGGUUAAUAGAGAGAGUUCAUGUAGGGCUCAAGCUUUUAAGCUUUUUAGAGGGUUUUGUAAGCUUGAUAUAAAGUGGAUGACACAUGGAGUCGACCGUGACGAGGGACGGAUACUAUUAUCUUGAAUUCUUGAUCUAUGAUAUAUUUUCUGGUA